rnacentral:rRNA from 1 species
GACGAACGCUGGCGGCGUGCCUAACACAUGCAAGUAGAACGCUGAAGCGAGGAGUUUGCUCUUCUUGGAUGAGUUGCGAACGGGUGAGUAACGCGUAGGUAACCUGCCUUGUAGCGGGGGAUAACUAUUGGAAACGAUAGCUACUACCGCAUAACAAUGGAUGACACAUGUCAUUUAUUUGAAAGGGGCAAUUGCUUCACUACAAGACGGACCUGCGUUGUAUUAGCUAGUAGGUGAGGUAAUGGCUCACCUAGGCGACGAUACGUAGCCGACCUGAGAGGGGGAGCGGCCACACUGGGACGGGGACACGGCCCAGACUCCUGCGGGAGGCAGCAGGAGGGGAUCUUCGGCAAUGGGGGCAGCCCUGACCAAUCAACGCCGCGUGAGUGAAUAAGGUUGUCGGGUCGUGAAGCUCUGUUGUGAGUCAGGAACGGGUGUGAGAGUGGAAAGUUCACACAGUGACGGUAGCGUGCCAAAAAGGGACGGCUAACUACGUG